rnacentral:rRNA from 1 species
GACGUAGGGCGCGAGCGUUGUCCGGAUUUAUUGGGCGUAAAGAGCUCGUAGGCGGCUUGUCGCGUCGUCCGUGAAAACUUGGGGCUCAACCCCAAGCUUGCGGUCGAUACGGGCAGGCUAGAGUUCGGUAGGGGAGACUGGAAUUCCUGGUGUAGCGGUGAAAUGCGCAGAUAUCAGGAAGAACACCCGUGGCGAAGGCGGCUUUCUGGGACGGUACUGACGCUGAGACGCGAAAGCGUGGGGAGCGAACAGG